GAAUGUAGAGGCUGCGGCAAUCAUCAGUAGCAUUUCAGAUGAGCUCCCGCUCGGAUGAAGAAAUGUAAAAGGGAAAGCCGCCGAAGCUGAUCGGUUUGGGAGAGCCGUGAUGCUGGGACUCAGGUUAAGAGCCUGAGGACUGUCAUCUUUAGUAAAAGAUGGAGUGCUACGGUU
rnacentral:ncRNA from 1 species